AAAGAAGUUCGGCCAGUUCUACAACGCCACUGGCCUUACAGAGGUCGGCUCCGUCGAGGACAUUCGGUGGAGUGGGUGCGGUUCUACUCUUUUUAC